GAUGAACGCUAGCGGUAGGCAUAACACAUGCAAGUCGAGGGGCAGCAUAAUUGAAGCUUGCUUUGAUUGAUGGCGACCGGCGGAUGGGUGAGUAACGCGUAUGCAACCUGGCUUAUACAGGAGGAUAGACACUGGAAACGGUGCGUAAUACUGCGUAAUGUUAUUGAGAGGCAUCUCUUGAUAAAGAAAGAUUUCGAUUGGUAUAAGAUGGGCAUGCGUAGGAUUAGCUAGAUGGUGAGGUAACGGCCCACCAAGGCAACGAUCGGUAGCCGGACUGAGAGGUUGAACGGCCACAUUGGGAACUGAGACACGGCCCAG
rnacentral:rRNA from 1 species